rnacentral:rRNA from 1 species
UACGUAGGGCGCGAGCGUUGUCCGGAAUUAUUGGGCGUAAAGAGCUCGUAGGCGGCUUGUCACGUCUGGGGUGAAAGACCGGGGCUUAACUCCGGUUCUGCAUUCGAGACGGGCUAGCUAGAGUGUGGUAGGGGAGAUCGGAAUUCCUGGUGUAGCGGUGAAAUGCGCAGAUAUCAGGAGGAACACCGGUGGCGAAGGCGGAUCUCUGGGCCAUUACUGACGCUGAGGAGCGAAAGCGUGGGGAGCGAACAGG